GACGAACGCUGGCGGCGUGCUUAACACAUGCAAGUCGAACGCUGAAGCUUGGUGCUUGCACUGGGUGGAUGAGUGGCGAACGGGUGAGUAAUACGUGAGUAACCUGCCCUUGACUCUGGGAUAAGCCUGGGAAACUGGGUCUAAUACUGGAUACGACAUGUCACCGCAUGGUGGUGUGUGGAAAGGGUUUUACUGGUUUUGGAUGGGCUCACGGCCUAUCAGCUUGUUGGUGGGGUAAUGGCUCACCAAGGCGACGACGGGUAGCCGGCCUGAGAGGGUGACCGGCCACACUGGGACUGAGACACGGCCCAGACUCCUACGGGAGGCAGCAGUGGGGAAUAUUGCACAAGGGGCGAAAGCCUGAUGCAGCGACGCCGCGUGAGGGAUGACGGCCUUCGGGUUGUAAACCUCUUUCAGCACGGAAGAAGCGAAAGUGACGGUACGUGCAGAAGAAGCGCCGGCUAACUACGUG
rnacentral:rRNA from 1 species